UUAACCUCGUACUGAGUGCAGAGAGGCGUUGGUCUAGCCGUAGGUCUUUCACCGGUCUUCAAGCCUUUAGGUGAGGACGUGUGGCCCCCCCGGAGCCAGAAGACUAUGGGGACAGGAGGGUGCAGCAGCUGCGUGGCGGGAGGUGUCGGUCUUUUCGGUAACUGGAGGGGCCAGGUUGGAGCUGGCGUUUUGUAACUUAGCCUCCUGGCGAGUCCGCGCCUUUGUCUUCUGUGGCGCCGCCUUCUGCGCGUUGCCAAGUCCUCCCCAGUUUUUCUUUUAGUCAAGAUGAGUAAUAAGCCAGACUUGUCUGAAGUGGAGAAGUUUGGUCAAAACUGAAGAAAACUAACACUAAAGAAAAAAAUACUCUCCCUUCAAAGGAAACUAUCCAACAAGAUAAAGAGUGUGUUCAAACAUCAUAAAAUGUGGAUCUCCUCCCAACAGAAAAUUUCAACAUUGCUUUAGUGUCUUAGUUUGGGGCUUGUUUUUUGUAAACUUAUGUGUUUGUAGCUAUUUUAGGCAUCUUCUGAUGUCUUCCCAUCCAUAUCCCCUAGCCAAGAGGUCAGGGGAAGCCAGUGUUCCCUUUUUUUAAACUUUCCAUUGGUACACACAUUCCAGUUGGCAGAUGCUGUUAAUAAUCUUACCAUUGAUGACAUUUCUGUGUGUAGUCCUUGCACCCCCAAAGGUUAAACCACUUUUAACUUUCUAUAGUGGCUGUAUUUGUUGUUCCAUAAUAUUCAUGAAGUGGCAUACAUUUGCACCUUCUCAGUUUAUUUUCAUUUCUAAUGUAGCGAUAAAAUAAUAAAUAUAA